GGAGCUGCAGUUUAGCAGAUGCCAUGUGGCGUACAGAUUUUCGGGGAAGAGUUUCCCGGCUAAGAGAACAGCAAGGGCAAAAGCCCUCAUGUGAGCAUGUCUGGUGUGUUGGAAGAACAGCAAUGAGGCUGAUAUGGCUGAAGCAGAGAAAAUCAGGGAAGAGAAUAAGUGAUGAGAUCUAAGAAAAAUUCUUGCUGCUGUAUUGAGAAUAGAUUGAGAAAACAAGGGCAGAAGCAGGGAGACCAGUCAGGAGCUGAUUGCAGUAUCAGGUAAGAGGGGAUGAGGGCCAGGACCAGGGAGAUGGCAGCAGAGGUGAUGAGGAGUGGUCAAAUUUUUGAUACAUUUUGCAGGGAGAGCCAA
rnacentral:lncRNA from 1 species